GGCGCUAUGGUGUAGUGGCAGCACAUGGGAUUCUGAUGUUCCUCCGCCAGUCUUCCCAUAACCCAGGUUCGAACCCUGGUAGUGCCU